rnacentral:rRNA from 1 species
CCUUAGAGUUUGAUCCUGGCUCAGGAUGAGCGCUAGCUACAGGCUUAACACAUGCAAGUCGAGGGGCAGCAUGGUCUUAGCUUGCUAAGGCCGAUGGCGACCGGCGCACGGGUGAGUAACACGUAUCCAACCUGCCGUCUACUCUUGGACAGCCUUCUGAAAGGAAGAUUAAUACAAGAUGGCAUCAUGAGUCCGCAUGUUCACAUGAUUAAAGGUAUUCCGGUAGACGAUGGGGAUGCGUUCCAUUAGAUAGUAGGCGGGGUAACGGCCCACCUAGCCUUCGAUGGAUAGGGGUUCUGAGAGGAAGGUCCCCCACAUUGGAACUGAGACACGGUCCAAACUCCUACGGGAUGCAGCAGUGAGGAAUAUUGGUCAAUGGGCGAGGGCCUGAACCAGCCAAGUAGCGUGAAGGAUGACUGCCCUAUGGGUCGUAAACUUCUUUUAUAUGGGAAUAAAGUUUUCCACGUGUGGAAUUUUGUAUGUACCAUAUGAAUAAGGAUCGGCUAACUCCGUGCCAGCAGCCGCGGUAAUACGGAGGAUCCGAGCGUUAUCCGGAUUUAUUGGGUUUAAAGGGAGCGUAGGUGGAUUGUUAAGUCAGUUGUGAAAGUUUGCGGCACAACCGUAAAAUUGCAGUUGAAACUGGCAGUCUUGAGUACAGUAGAGGUGGGCGGAAUUCGUGGUGUAGCGGUGAAAUGCUUAGAUAUCACGAAGAACUCCGAUUGCGAAGGCAGCUCACUAGACUGUUACUGACACUGAUGCUCGAAAGUGUGGGUAUCAAACAGGAUUAGAUACCCUGGUAGUCCACACAGUAAACGAUGAAUACUCGCUGUUUGCGAUAUACAGUAAGCGGCCAAGCGAAAGCAUUAAGUAUUCCACCUGGGGGAGUACGCCGGCAACGGUGAAACUCAAAGGAAUUGACGGA